GUGGGCUUUUAAUGACUUGGAUUUCAAUUGUAAUGCCUUCUUCAACGGGUUUAAUUGUUAGCCUCUUGCAAUUGGGCAUUAGUCCAUGCUUUUCAAUUUACUGAGUAUCUACCUUGAUUAAGGGAUCUAUUUACUGAGGUCAAUCCUUAUUAGAAUGUAUUCAGAAAGACAAGAAAAUGGAUUACUAAAGUUUUUUUUUUGACAAUGAACUCAAUUGCUUCCAUUAUCCAAGCAAGCCAAAACACAAACUUUAG
rnacentral:misc_RNA from 1 species